UGCUCAGUAACACGUAGCUAACCUACCCUUAAGUCGAGGAUACUCUCGGGAAACUGAGGUUAAUACUCGAUAGGAGAUGUACCCUGGAAUGAUUCAUCUCUCAAAUUCGUGCUUAAGGAUGGGGCUGCGGCGGAUUAGGUUGUUGGCGGGGUAAAGGCCCACCAAGCCAAUGAUCCGUAAGGGCUCUUAGCGGAGAGGCCCUGAGAGGGAAUCUGAGACACUAUUCCCAGCCCUACGGGGUGCAGCAGUUAGGAAUUUUCUGCAAUGUACGAAAGUAUGACAGAUUGAGUCAGAGUGCUUUUCAUAUGAAAAGCUUUUGCCAAAUGUAAAAAGUUUGGCGAAUAAGGACUGGGUAAGACGAGUGCCAGCAGCCGCGGUAAUACAAUA
rnacentral:rRNA from 1 species